GGGGCCGUAGUCUAGCCUGGCUAGGAUGCCGGCCUGGGGUGAUUACCCCGCUGGCCAGGUAAGCCCGGAGCGCCGGUGAUCCCGGGUUCAAAUCCCGGCGGCCCCA
rnacentral:tRNA from 1 species